AUAUCAAUAAGCGGAGGAGAAGAAACUAACCAGGAUUCCUUAGUAGCGGCGAGCGAACCGGGAAGUGCCCAACUUGUAAAUCUCCGGCCUCCGGCCGGCGAAUUGUAGUCUAGAGAAGCGCCCUCUGCGGCAGGUCGGCCUCAAGUCCCUUGGAAGAGGGUGUCAGAGAGGGUGAGAGCCCCGUCGGCGCGACUGUUGCCGCUCCACGAGACGCUUUCGAAGAGUCGGGUUGUUUGGGAAUGCAGCCCAAAGCCGGUGGUAAAUCCCAUCUAAGGCUAAAUACUGACGGGAGACCGAUAGCGCACAAGUA
rnacentral:rRNA from 1 species